GUGGGUAGUUUGACUGGGGCGGUCUCCUCCUAAAGAGUAACGGAGGAGCACGAAGGUUGGCUAAUCCUGGUCGGACAUCAGGAGGUUAGUGCAAUGGCAUAAGCCAGCUUGACUGCGAGCGUGACGGCGCGAGCAGGUGCGAAAGCAGGUCAUAGUGAUCCGGUGGUUCUGAAUGGAAGGGCCAUCGCUCAACGGAUAAAAGGUACUCCGGGGAUAACAGGCUGAUACCGCCCAAGAGUUCAUAUCGACGGCGGUGUUUGGCACCUCGAUGUCGGCUCAUCACAUCCUGGGGCUGAAGUAGGUCCCAAGGGUAUGGCUGUUCGCCAUUUAAAGUGGUACGCGAGCUGGGUUUAGAACGUCGUGAGACAGUUCGGUCCCUAUCUGCCGUGGGCGCUGGAGAACUGAGGGGGGCUGCUCCUAGUACGAGAGGACCGGAGUGGACGCAUCACUGGUGUUCGGGUUGUCAUGCCAAUGGCACUGCCCGGUAGCUAAAUGC
rnacentral:rRNA from 1 species